UGCGUCCGUAGCUCAUCCGGAUAGAGCGACGGACUUCGAAUCCGUAGGUGGCAGGUUCGAGUCCUGUCGGACGCAA
rnacentral:tRNA from 1 species